GAUUUAUCAAAAUCUGUGCAGAGGAAAAGUUGCUGAGUUGCCCAUAGCAACCAAUCAGAUCGCUGCUUUCACUUUGCAGAGGCCUUGUUAAAAACGAAAGCAGCGAUCUGAUUGGUUGCUAUGGGCAACUGGGCAACUUCUCCUCUGCACAGGUUUUGAUAAAUCUCCCCCAAUAUCAUCCAUAGUUAUAGGAGAGGACGUAUUCUACUCUACAUAAUCCUGCCGCCUCCCUCAUAUAGGACUAUAUGAGAGGUCACGUAUAAUAAACACAGAUAAUCCCGGACAAUCUCAGCAGCCCAAGAGUAAAGCUAACAGGAGAUGUACUGGAAGUCCCAUAGACUGGCAUGGAUCUGCAGAGAAAACCCCCUACCCUUGUCAAUAGGGAUCACUGGACUCACCAUGUUUUGGGCUCAGUAUAGGAAAGGGAUCUCCCAGCUUCCAAAAGAAAUACAUAAAG